GCGAGGACCUUAACCACUGUGCCACCGCGCCAGGCCCUCUCAAAUAUUUUUUAAAAAAUAUUUGAAUAAGGCCCUGAGCACUUCUGGGCCCUAAGUGUUUGCUCAGCUGCCCCCUAACUCUUGCAGCUUGAGUUCCUGGUAUGCUCACCCAAUCUGAUUAAAAGUGAGGCCUCCCGGGUAUCCUCUGCCUUCAGUGCCAGCCAAGCACCCCGGGCCACAGUAACCCCCACCUGUGUUUGCCUUCAGUGAGAGAAGGCUCUGGGGGAGGCCUUAUCUCAGUGACCUGUGCCCCACCUCAACUUGGACAGGAAGGAGCUAGGAUUGCUCUGUUGCUUCUGGGGCUGACCAGGGCACAGAGCAGAGGAGCGCAGUGAGCUGAGCUUUGAGGUGGGAUGCAGCAGCGAAAAGCAGAAAAGCCUCCCCAGGCACGGGAGGGGGCUGGUCCCCAGUUGCAUUGCUCUCCAGGGCGCUGCCUGUUGAAGCUUACUGCUUUUGUGCGACUUUGAGGUAUGUUCAGGUGCCCUCUGAGAAAGUUCUGACUUCAUGUGGGUCUGCCUAUAGGGUGGAAGUACCAGUGUGAAGCUUGUGGGCCCUGCACUUCAUUGGUUUUUGUUAUUGAUAAACUGACUUUGUGUGUCCAAUUCAGGCUCGGACUGUUUGGAUUGUUUGAGUCUGGUCACUUACAGAGGCUUCCUCGGUCUGAAAAGCAGACAGUGGCUGCAGGGACCAGCACCCAACUAGAAGUGUACCAACAGGCCUGUGGACUGUGGAGUGUGACGUAGAAUCAGUGUGUGACGUCACCACCUCUCUGGUUGCUCUUGGCUUCAAAACCACUGUUGAAGAAGCAUCUGUGGGGAAUCCCAAAGGGACAUUGCUGAGAUGUUGCAGGCCUGGAAGUGGAACACCAG